rnacentral:rRNA from 1 species
GUGAGGAAUAUUGGUCAAUGGGCGAGAGCCUGAACCAGCCAAGUAGCGUGAGGGAUGACUGUCCUAUGGGUUGUAAACCUCUUUUGCAGGGGGGUAAAGUGGUCCACGUGUGGAUCAUUGCAAGUACCCUGCGAAUAAGGAUCGGCUAACUCCGUGCCAGCAGCCGCGGUAAUACGGAGGAUCCGAGCGUUAUCCGGAUUUAUUGGGUUUAAAGGGAGCGUAGGCGGGGGUUUAAGUCAGCUGUGAAAUGCCGUGGCCCAACCAUGGAACUGCAGUUGAAACUGGACCUCUUGAGAGUACAUAAGGAAGGCGGAAUUCGUGGUGUAGCGGUGAAAUGCAUAGAUAUCACGAAGAACUCCGAUUGCGAAGGCAGCUUUCCGGGGUACAUCUGACGCUGAAGCUCGAAAGUGCGGGAAUCAAACAGGAUUAGAAACCCCGGUAGUCC